rnacentral:rRNA from 1 species
UACGGGGGGGGCAAGCGUUGUUCGGAAUUACUGGGCGUAAAGGGCUCGUAGGUGGUCAACUAAGUCAUACGUGAAAUCCCUCGGCUUAACCGGGGAACUGCGCCUGAUACUGGUUGACUUGAGUUUGGGAGAGGGACGCGGAAUUCCAGGUGUAGCGGUGAAAUGCGUAGAUAUCUGGAGGAACACCGGUGGCGAAGGCGGGUCUCUGGGCCGAUACUGACGCUGAGGAGCGAAAGCGUGGGGAGCGAACAGG